CCGCCGCCGACCACGGAGUGUGCAGACUCCCGACGGCGGACCGUCACUCGUCAGCAUAUAGCGCAGCACCCCGGUAAGGUCACCCGGGCCCCAACAUGACCCCCGUCGAGGCUCAGGGCUUUUGCGUGCUGCUGUUGAUGAUCAUCUAUUAUUACGUUUCGCUGUGGUCGUUCUUCUCCCGUUACGACGGCACGGUGAUCGACCGCCGAGGCUUUUACAUAUUCUUUUGGUUGUUUUAAACGCCACCGACACGCCGCCGACGCCGCCGACACGCCAGCUCACUGCAGCCAGUGCACCGCCGCGGUCGUGCCCACAACGUUAUGUCAAUGUAUUAUUAUUUGUACAAUAUUUUCCUCUAUUGCUACAUCGAUACCUAAUAACUUCAAUAAAUCAACUACCUAAUAGCAAGUAAUUUAAAGGUAUUUAUAUUCCUCUACUAAGUAUACUGACAUUAAUAGAAAUGCAGUGACCUUGAAAAAAUAGUUUAUACAAUAAAUCUUCCACCGACGAACUCAAUAAUUCAGAUUCAAAUCUAUAAUGCCGUUAACUAUGACCAGAUCAGCAGAACCUAAUUCAUCGAUAACCAAAAGUACUCGCAGAAAAAUAUUGGCACCUAUACAUAAUUCCAAAUUCAUCGUUUCCAAUAUUGGCCCCAUUUAAGGGGAGGUAAUAUAAUUUAUCAUAUUAUAGUCAAUUUAUUUUCAGUCAUAGACCAAAUUUUAAUUUUCUAAAAGGAACUAAUUAAUAGCACACAAUGAUAACUAUAUAUGACACUUAAAUUAUGUGAAAAUACAAUUAUGCAAACCGGAUGACCCGUACAGCUGAAAAUAUUUAUUUUGUUCAAAUUUUAAAGGUGUUGUAAUAAAUCUACAUUGGUUUGUUAGUUCAGAAUAUUCGUAUAAAAAAUAGAGUUAGUCGAAAUGAAUUGUUGAAAUUAAAAUAAAUUCAUUAGAUGAAAUACCACAACAAGAAGACGUAGGAACAUGUACAGCAGUAUUUAUACUGCAGCAGGAGCAGCAUAAUAAUAUAUGCUAUACAAAAUCAAAGAAAAACGAGAAGUCUAUCUUUAAACUAUGUGGAUUUUAAUAUCAUGUCAUUCACAUCAAGUUCCAAUUCCCUUUAUUGUGUAUUAUGAAAUCAAAACUAACAUAUUUUCUUCACUUUUCUAUAAUUUAUAUAAUAUUAUACCUAAAAUGUUAGAAAGAUGUGUUUUACAGUAUCGAGAUUAAUGUCAAAAAUUAAAUUUAAAAAAAUGUAUUAAGUUGUAAGUUAUUUGAAGACCUCCCGUGGAGAUCGGUGUAUGUUACAAAAACGAAAUUGUUCAGAGGAGACAAAUAACUGUAUAUGGACCACUGAAGUCAGUUAUGUGCAUGUUUAGUACAUGGUUAGGUAGUUACAACAAAAAUUAAUAUAUAAUAAUAUGAUUAUUAAAUUUGCGUGUUUUUAUUGUUGACUACAUAAUUGUGUGUAGAAUUCGCGGUACUUCGGUUCCAAAUAGUCUAACAUCUAUACAUAAACGCUUUCUUGCAAUCAAUUUUUGGAGUUCUUAAUGUACGUUUAUUCAUACAUAAUGUAGCACAAUGUGUUGUCAACACUGAGUUUUAU